rnacentral:rRNA from 1 species
GAUGAACGUUAGCGGGAGGCUUAAUACAUGCAAGUCGAGCGGUAAGUUUUUAUAGCAAUAUGAAGACCUAGAGCGGCGCACGGGUGAGUAACGCGUACACGACCUGGCCUAAACUGGGGGAUAGCCUUGGGAAACUGAGAGUAAUCCCGCAUGUGAUUAUGUUACUGAUGGUGAUAUAAUUAAAGCUUCGGCGGUUUAGGAUGGGUGUGCGUCUGAUUAGCUAGUUGGUAGUGUAACGGACUACCAAGGCGAUGAUCAGUAGGGGGCGUGAGAGCGUGACCCCCCACACGGGUACUGAGACACGGACCCGACUCCUACGGGAGGCAGCAGUAAGGAAUAUUGGUCAAUGGGGGCAACCCUGAUCCAGCCAUGCCGCGUGUGUGAAGAAGGCC